rnacentral:rRNA from 1 species
AUUGAACGCUGGCGGCAGGCCUAACACAUGCAAGUCGAACGAGUGGCGGACGGGUGAGUAAUGUAUGGGAACCUGCCCGAUGGAGGGGGAUAACUACUGGAAACGGUAGCUCAUACCGCAUACCAUCAUAUGGGGCCAGGUGGGAUUAGCUAGUGGGUGGGGUAAAGGCUCACCUAGGCGACGAUCCCGAGCUGGUCUGAGAGGAUGACCAGCCACACUGGAACUGAGACACGGCCCAGACUCCUACGGGAGGCAGCAGUGGGGAAUAUUGCACAAUGGGCGCAAGCCUGAUCCAGCCAUGCCGCGUGUGUGAAGAAGGCCUUCGGGUUGUAAAGCACUGUCAGCGGGGAGGCGUUACCCGAAGAAGAAGCACCGGCUAACUCCGUGCCAGCAGCCGCGGUAAUUC